rnacentral:rRNA from 1 species
AUUGAACGCUGGCGGCAUGCCUUACACAUGCCAGUCGAACGGCAGCACGGGUGCUUGCACCUGGUGGCGAGUGGCGAACGGGUGAGUAAUACAUCGGAACAUGUCCUGUAGUGGGGGAUAGCCCGGCGAAAGCCGGAUUAAUACCGCAUACGAUCUACGGAUGAAAGCGGGGGACCUUCGGGCCUCGCGCUAUAGGGUUGGCCGAUGGCUGAUUAGCUAGUUGGUGGGGUAAAGGCCUACCAAGGCGACGAUCAGUAGCUGGUCUGAGAGGACGACCAGCCACACUGGGACUGAGACACGGCCCAGACUCCUACGGGAGGCAGCAGUGGGGAAUUUUGGACAAUGGGCGAAAGCCUGAUCCAGCAAUGCCGCGUGUGUGAAGUAGGCCUUCGGGUUGUAAAGCACUUUUGUCCGGAAAGAAAUCCUUGGCCCUAAUACGGUCGGGGGAUGACGGUACCGGAAGAAUAAGCACCGGCUAACUACGUG